CAGAACAAUGUUUUGGAGUUGUGGUCAUUAUUUGAUUUCCUUAUGCCUGGAUUUUUGGGUACUGAACGCCAGUUUGCUGCUCGAUAUGGCAAACCUAUAUUAGCGAGUAGGGAUGCACGAAGCUCCAGUCGAGAGCAAGAAGCAGGUGUUCUUGCCAUGGAUGCACUGCACCGCCAAGUUCUGCCAUUCCUUCUCAGAAGAAUGAAAGAAGAUGUUUUGCAGGAUCUUCCACCUAAAAUUAUUCAAGACUAUUACUGUACUCUUAGCCCUCUCCAGGUUAGGAAUGUGGUCAUGGUAGCUGUUGAUAGAUUCUUAUUAGCAGGACAGCCUUUAGUUUUAUCAGAUGCCCAUUGAUAAUUAAAUUCUCCAGUUUAUUUGGUGACUUUCUGGACAGAUUUCCUUAAGUCUUGCUGUGAAUGGUAAAGUAUAAACAUGAACUACGUCUCACUCUAGUGGAGGAGUCUAGAGCAUUUCCCUUCAAAGAAAGGGGCAGCGUACUUUCUCUAAAGAUAGAGAUCAAUGCUCUUCACCCCUCCAGAUGUAAGGGACUAAUCCUUUGGACUCUGGCCCUAAACUACCAAGUAAGCUCCCCCACCCCCACUUACUCACUAAGAUAUUUAACUUAAAGAAAGCACUAUGACUUCUCUUAGGCAUAUCCAAGCUUUGGGGCUAUUGUUGACUGAAAGAAAGCUUACUAGAACCCAGGUCAGAAAGAAGGUGAGAGUGAUCAGUGUUGGAAUUGGGACUCCCUGACUGACAGGCAGGGAGCUCUGGUUCUUCUGUGCCUACCACCUGCUCUACAGAGUGAGUUUCAGGACAGCCAGGGCUACACAGAGAGAGCCCAUCUCUCUGUGUAAAAAAAGAAAAGAAAAUGAUCUCUUGAAAGAAAUGUCUUACGAGUAAUGGGGUACUUUUGCCCUUUGCUGGGGGUGGGGAUGGUGGUAAUAUUCUAAUGAUAGUACUAUAGUAUAGGCAGAAACCACAUUUAAGUAAUCUAGAAGAAGAG
rnacentral:lncRNA from 1 species